AAGCGGAAAAGCUCAAAUUUGAAAUCUGGCAGUCUAUUUUUUCUUCUUUGGCUGUCCGAGUUGUAAUCUAGAGAAGUGCUUACCUGCACUGGACCAUGUAUAAGUCUCCUGGAAUGGAGCGUCACAGAGGGUGAGAAUCCCGUCUUUGACAUGGACUGCCAGUGUGUUGUGGUGUGCUCUCAAAGAGUCGAGUUGUUUGGGAAUGCAGCUCUAAAUGGGUGGUAAACUCCAUCUAAAGCUAAAUAUUGGCGAGAGACCGAUAGCGAACAAGUACCGUGAGGGAAAGAUGAAAAGGACUUUGGAAAGAGAGUUAAACAGUAUGUGAAAUUGUUGAAAGGGAAACGCUUGAAGUCAGUUAUGUUGGCUAGGGAUCAACCUAGCUGUCUUUUGCUGGGUGAAUUUCCUAGUCUGACAGGCCAACAUCAGUCUUGACUGCUGGAAAAGAGCAGAGGGAAUGUGGCACCUUCGGGUGUGUUAUAGCCCUUUGUCAUAUGUGGCGGUUGGGACUGAGGG
rnacentral:rRNA from 1 species